rnacentral:rRNA from 1 species
UAAGGAAUAUUGCACAAUGGGGGAAACCCUGAUGCGGCAACGCCGCGUGAGCGACGAAGGCCUUCGGGUUGUAAAACUCUUUUCUGAGGGAUGAGGAAGGACAGUACCUUAGGAAUAAGUCUCGGCUAACUACGUGCCAGCAGCCGCGGUAAAACGUAGGAGGCGAGCGUUAUCCGGAUUUACUGGGCGUAAAGGGCAAGUAGGCGGUGGUUCAAGUUGGGCGUGACAGAUCCUGGCUUAACUGGGAGAGGUCGUUUAAAACUGGAUCACUAGAGGGCAGGAGAGGGGAGCGGAAUUCCUAGUGUAGCGGUGGAAUGCUCAGAUAUUAGGAAGAACACCAGUGGCGAAAGCGGCUUUCUGGCCUGCACCUGACGCUGUAGGGCGAAAGCUAGGGGAGCGAACGG